AACGUAGGACGCAAGCGUUAUCCGGAGUUACUGGGCGUAAAGCGCGGGCAGGCGGCUCGUCAAGUGGGAUGUGAAAGCGCCCGGCUAAACCGGGCGAGGCCAUUCCAAACUGAUGGGCUGGAGGGCAGUAGAGGUAGGCGGAAUUCCGGGUGGAGUGGUGAAAUGCGUAGAGAUCCGGAGGAACACCAGAGGCGAAGGCGGCCUACUGGGCUGCACCUGACGCUGAGCCGCGAAAGCCAGGGGAGCGAACGGG
rnacentral:rRNA from 1 species